AGCGAACGCUGGCGGCAGGCCUAACACAUGCAAGUCGAACGAAGUCUUCGGACUUAGUGGCGGACGGGUGAGUAACACGUGGGAACGUGCCUUUAGGUUCGGAAUAACUCAGGGAAACUUGUGCUAAUACCGAAUGUGCCCUUCGGGGGAAAGAUUUAUCGCCUUUAGAGCGGCCCGCGUCUGAUUAGCUAGUUGGUGUGGUAAAGGCUCACCAAGGCGACGAUCAGUAGCUGGUCUGAGAGGAUGAUCAGCCACAUUGGGACUGAGACACGGCCCAAACUCCUACGGGAGGCAGCAGUGGGGAAUCUUGCGCAAUGGGCGAAAGCCUGACGCAGCCAUGCCGCGUGAAUGAUGAAGGUCUUAGGAUUGUAAAAUCCUUUCACCGGUGAAGAUAAUGACUGUAGCCGGAGAAGAAGCCCCGGCUAACUUCGUGCCAGCAGCCGCCGUAACAC
rnacentral:rRNA from 1 species